rnacentral:rRNA from 1 species
CAUGGCCAUAUUACCCUGAACACCCCUGAUAUCAUCUGAUCUUAGAAGCUAAGCAGGGUUGGUCCUGGUUAGUAUGUGCAUGGGAGACAGGAUGAACUUAUUU